UUGUGAGUGUGGCUGUUUGUCUCCGUGUGCUGUGCGAUUGGGUGGCAACCAGUUCAGGGUGUACCCCGCCUCCUGCCUGUUGACAGCUGGGAUAGGCUCCAGCAGCCCUCGUGACCCUUGUGAGGAUAAGUGGCAAAGAAAAUGGAUGGAUGGAUGGAACGUCGCUGGGGGUACCUAAUAAAGUGUCCAGUACGUAUAAUGUAUGUUUUCUCCACCAGGGGUCGCCCUCGUCCCACACGACUCAGUGGAUGCGAUUGCCGUUUUGUCCUCUUGCCGAUCGGCCGCAAACAAAAGCUCAUUGAUUGGCUGAAAGAUGCGGAAGUGAGUCGGUCGAAAUGGGAAGAAGACGAGCCCCGGGUGCGCCUCAACUUUCGACGUAACUUCAGAAGGUUUGUGACCGACGACGACAUUCAGAUUUACCAGUUCUAGUGACUUCGUCAAAGUAGGACUGGAACUCACUUGUAAAACAAAGACCUCCUCUAGUUCCUCCUCCGACUGUGCUGCAUUAUUGAUGGAAACCAAGGACAUAAAGGACACGGCGAUAGAAACUGCUCAUAUGAGAAUUUGGGGCCCGUUUAUCAGGGUCACUGCUUUGAGACAGACUCAUGGGCUGGAGGUCAACGUGGCGUGGAUCAGGAGUGCCGACAUAUACAAGUGCUGAUUACCUCCCUUCAAGUAGAAAGAAAAAAUGCAAAUAAUAAAUUGGUCUCGGCUGUUUCUUCUCUCGCUCUCUCCUCGCCCCCCCCUCCUCAUCGCAAUAUGAAUCAUGGAUCCGACCGUAUGCACCCGAGGGAGCGCAAUGAAUCGGCGUGCAGGCUGACCAAUCGCGGGGAUUGGAGGUAGACUUGACCGUGGAAGGAGUCUCCGCGUCAAGGGCAAUUUAUAUUGGGACCACAGGAAUGGCUGCGAGGAACAAGGAGAGGGUGUCACGGGCGUGGUCUGGCAACUGCCGUGGGCGGCGCUUCCUGUGAGGGGCGUGGCCAGGCCGCUACUCUGGGCGGUGCCACCUCGGACAGCUGUCACAGCUGUGUCACAUUUGGGACACUAAUGAACUCA